rnacentral:rRNA from 1 species
AGAGUUUGAUCCUGGCUCAGGACGAACGCUGGCGGUGUGCUUCACACAUGCAAGUCGAGCGAAUGAAGAAGGUAGCUUGCUACUUUUGGAUUUAGCGGCGGACGGGUGAGUAAUAUAUAGGAAUCUGCCCUAGAGCGGGGAACAACAGACCGAAAGGUUUGCUAAUGCCCCAUAGGUACGCAGUCUUCGGAUUGUUUAUUAAAGGAGUAAUCCACUCUAGGAUGAGCCUGUAUCCGAUUAGCUAGUUGGCGGGGUAAAGGCCCACCAAGGCUACGAUCGGUAGUUGGUCUGAGAGGAUGAUCAGCCACAAUGGGACUGAGACACGGCCCAUACUCCUACGGGAGGCAGCAGUGGGGAAUUUUACACAAUGGGGGAAACCCUGAUGUAGCGACACCGCGUGAACGAAGAAGCCUUUUGGGGUGUAAAGUUCUGUCGGCUGGAACGAAAAAAAUGACGGUACCAGCAAAGGAAGCAUCGGCUAACUACGUGCCAGCAGCCGCGGUAAGACGUAGGAUGCAAGCGUUGUCCGGAUUUAUUGGGCGUAAAGAGUUCGUAGGCGGUUAUUUAAGUCUGGUGUUAAAUACUGUGGCCCAACCACAGAACUGCAUUGGAUACUGGAUGACUUGAGUGCGGUAGAGGCAAGUGGAAUUCCCAGUGUAGCGGUGAAAUGCGUAGA